CGAGUUACUUUUAAGUAUGAGAUUCUAUCCAAACCUUGAAAUAUCUUUUGACUUUUUAUUUGAAAAUGCGCAUGCAUGUGUAUUCAUGAAGGGCAAAGAAAUGAUAAAUGUUCUCAUCUGAGUUAGAACCAAAGACAGUGUAGGCAGCUGCUGUGAGCUUCCUUAUUGCUUUUGGCCUGACAUGAGCUGGAAGAU
rfam:Felis catus cont1.116958, whole genome shotgun sequence.